AAGAUAAAUAAAUAGAUUUCUAAUCUAUGCAAAAGUAUAAACUUGUAUCUU
rnacentral:tRNA from 1 species